CGAGCGGGCAACUCUCCUUAACGUUCAUACCAGGACAGUAGAAAACAUACCUGAAUCGUUGGCAGCUUGGGUAUCUAUAAACCGUCGCACAAUAAUAAAAACAGAUCUCGGGGUAUUAUCUUUCACAGAGUCAUUAAGGAUCCAGCUUAUUAUUGGCACAUUGGUAAAGAAUUGUUCAUCUGCUACAUUGCACGGCAACUUCUGGACGGUACAGAAAGUGCGUAAGUGGGAGAGAGUGGAGGGGAAGGCAUCAGAAAGGACCUAGAGCUGGGACUCUUUCAAGGAUCACCCGUAGCACAACCACGCUAUGUAAAUGAACAAGGCUGUUGGUUCUAACAUUUUAGUGCCCCCCUUGUUAGAAAUCCCAUUCUGUUUUCCCCACUGGUUGCAGGUUAAUUUCUCUAACUGUUUCUAACAUUUUCACUGCACAAAUGUACAAAUCUCUUGUAUGAGACACAUUAGUAAAACAUGUUUUCACAGAAACUAUAGUUUUCCACCAAAAUAGAAGAUUAACUGGUUUCAGUCAUAAAAGUAAAAGGGUUUUUCUUGAAAGUGCAGCGCAAAAUAUGGAUAUUAUGUUACAAAAAAAUAUUUAAAAUAUUGUAUUUGGAUUGCUCUACAGGCUUUUAACAAUAAAUACAAGAACACUGCAAGUUAAA